UUCGGGGACAUUGGUGACAGGUGGUGCAUGGUUGUCGUCAGCUCGUGUCGUGAGAUGUUGGGUUAAGUCCCGCAACGAGCGCAACCCUUGUCUUUAGUUGCCAUCAUUAAGUUGGGCACUCUAGAGAGACUGCCAGGGAUAACCUGGAGGAAGGUGGGGAUGACGUCAAAUCAUCAUGCCCCUUAUGCUUAGGGCUACACACGUGCUACAAUGGGUAGUACAGAGGGUUGCCAAGCCGUAAGGUGGAGCUAAUCCCUUAAAGCUACUCUCAGUUCGGAUUGUAGGCUGAAACUCGCCUACAUGAAGCUGGAGUUACUAGUAAUCGCAGAUCAGAAUGCUGCGGUGAAUGCGUUCCCGGGUCUUGUACACACCGCCCGUCACACCACGGGAGUUGGAGACGCCCGAAGCCGAUUAUCUAACCGUUUGGAAGAAGUCGUCGAAGGUGGAAUCAAUAACUGGGGUGAAGUCGUAACAAGGUAGCCGUAUCGGAAGGUGCGGCUGGAUCACCUCCUUUCUAAGGA
rnacentral:rRNA from 1 species